GCUUAUGACCCCAAUACCCCUGGCACUAGACAUGGGAGACUAUCACAAGCAGUGCUGCCCCGGCGCUCCUGAACUUGCUCCUGCUGUAAUGGCCACCGGAGAGUGAAGCCGAUGGGUGAGGCUGAUCACACGCCACUUCCAAGGUGCCAGGGAAACUGGGAGCCUUUGCAGGUCGAAGGAAAUCUCCAGAUUUGCAGGCCGAGUUGCUUCUCAGCUGUGGGCGGAGUGCGGCGAUAGCACCCGGCGAGGAGAGUCUCCCCGCCCCAGCCCCAGCCUCCAGCGCCAGCCUUAGCCCCCAGCCCCAGCCGCAGCCCCAGCCCCAGCCCCAGCCCCCCUUCCCUUGCUCGCGACCCGUGGGCCGCGCGCUGAGCUCCGCAUCCCCCUCCCUGGCUCAGCAUCCAUCCCCUCGCGCCACCCGCAGGAGCGUGGACUGGGCGGGUCCGGGGCGAGGGCACACAACCGGCCGCGGGUCCUCGGCUCCCAGCCCCCAGCCCGGGCCCCGCCUCGCCACGUGCGGCCGCGGGCUGUUAAAUGGCUUCUGAGCUCCGCGCGCCUCGUGAGACAGCCGCAGCUCGAUUCGCGCUGGCUUUUCCCCCGAUUCCCAACCCGAACAGUGAGCCCUCUGUCCAUGGAGGAGGAAGAGACGUACCUGGAGCUCUACCUGGACCGGUGCGCCGCCCAGGAUGCUCUUGUCCCACCCAGAUCACCCGUGCUCAGCCCAGCUGUGCCUUAUGAUGUGUACAUACCUAAUUUAUCGAAUCCAGAGACUACAUUUAAUUCACAGCUUGAAGAAGUCACAGAAACAUCUGGCAAUUUCUCAUCUGUGGAUCUUAGCUUCCUACCAGAUGAGCUUACCCAAGAAAGUAAAGACCAGACUGUCAUCAGAAGCAAGCAUGAAAUUGAAGAAAAUUGUAAAACUCAAAGUCGGCAAAGUAGAUUGCCAUUACCUAGCCAACAAGACAUUGGCCUGGCUUUAAACAGCAGCAGUGGGUCAAAUUCCCACUCACAUCUGCACACUGGUGAUGCUGACUCAGCCCAGCCCUCUCCUGAGAAACCAUACUCCUUGCCUCUGGCGUCAAUAACUCCCAUGACACCAAUGACCCCUGUUUCAGAAUGUUCUGGGAUUGUGCCUCAACUACAGAAUAUAGUUUCCACUGUAAACCUGGCCUGUAAGUUGGAUCUGAAGAAAAUAGCUUUGCAUGCAAAAAAUGCAGAAUAUAACCCAAAGAGGUUUGCUGCUGUCAUAAUGAGAAUCCGAGAGCCCAGGACUACAGCCCUCAUAUUCAGCUCUGGGAAAAUGGUCUGCACAGGAGCUAAAAGCGAAGAGCAGUCUCGACUUGCAGCGAGAAAGUACGCUCGUGUGGUGCAGAAGCUGGGCUUUCCUGCCAGAUUCCUCGAUUUUAAAAUUCAGAACAUGGUUGGAAGCUGUGAUGUGAGAUUUCCUAUUAGGCUGGAAGGUUUGGUGCUAACCCAUCAGCAGUUCAGUAGAUCCUCAACCUUGGACCUCCUAUCUUUCUCUGAACCAACUUUUUCUGAAUAUGUGAAAGAUGUCUGCCUCAAAUCUAGGGUCGGAUUUAAAUUUGGAGUGGGAGCGUCCCUUGUCACUACUUCUACCUCUGAAAGGUGAAAUUGCCAGUAGGGUAAGAUGAGAAUUUAUCAGAUGCACUGCUUUUAGUCACUUGAGGAGUGGAAUUGCUGAAUCAUAUGGUAGUUCUAUUUUUAGUUUUUUUGAAGAACUUUCAUACUGUUUUCCACAGUGGUUGCACGAAUUUCCAUUCUUACCACAACCUCACCAACAUUUGUUAUUUGUAGACUUUUUGAUGGUAGAUCUUUUGGAGGCAUGUGGGAUCUUAGUUCCCUGACCAGUGAUCAAACCCACACCCCCUGCAUUAGAAAGUGAAAUGUUAACCACUGGACCAUCAGGGAAGUUCCCCUCAUUGUGGUUUUGAUUUGCAUUUCUCUGAUGUUGAGCAUCUUUUCAUGUGCUGGUUGGCUAUCUGUAUGUCUCCUUUGGAAAAAUGCCUAUUCAGUCCUCUGCCCAUUUUUUAAUUGGUUUGUUUGUUUUUUGAUGUUGAGUUGUAUUGUUGCAGAAAAUCGGUCUGUCGAGAAACCAAGCACCACACUCAGAGGGUUGGAGAACUGUGGUUUAUUAAGCCGGCGGCUGCAGACGAGCUAACGCUCCAAAGUUCUGGGCCCCGAACUCAGGUUAUGAACCUGAACUGUUUCCCGGCCUUAUUUAUAGAAUGGUGAAACCACGAAUUGUGUUGCUUAUCUUUGUAUCUGGAAAAGUUGUGUUGACAGGUGCCAAAGAACGUUCUGAUAUCUAUGAAGCAUUUGAAAACAUC